GUUGGGUAGGGGAGCGUUCUGUAAGCCUGUGAAGGUGUGUCGUGAGGCAUGCUGGAGGUAUCAGAAGUGCGAAUGCUGACAUAAGUAACGAUAAAGCGGGUGAAAAGCCCGCUCGCCGGAAGACCAAGGGUUCCUGUCCAACGUUAAUCGGGGCAGGGUGAGUCGACCCCUAAGGCGAGGCCGAAAGGCGUAGUCGAUGGGAAACGGGUUAAUAUUCCCGUACUUGGUGUUACUGCGAAGGGGGGACGGAGAAGGCUAUGUUGGCCGGGCGACGGUUGUCCCGGUUUAAGCGUGUAGGUGUGUGUUCCAGGUAAAUCCGGUUCACUUUAACACUGAGGCGUGACGACGAGGCACUACGGUGCUGAAGCAACAAAUGCCCUGCUUCCAGGAAAAGCCUCUAAGCAUCAGGUAACAUCAAAUCGUACCCCAAACCGACACAGGUGGUCAGGUAGAGAAUACCAAGGCGCUUGAGAGAACUCGGGUGAAGGAACUAGGCAAAAUGGUGCCGUAACUUCGGGAGAAGGCACGCUGACACGUAGGUGAAGUGAUUUACUCAUGGAGCUGAAGUCAGUCGAAGAUACCAGCUGGCUGCAACUGUUUAUUAAAAACACAGCACUGUGCAAACACGAAAGUGGACGUAUACGGUGUGACGCCUGCCCGGUGCCGGAAGGUUAAUUGAUGGGGUCAGCGCAAGCGAAGCUCCUGAUCGAAGCCCCGGUAAACGGCGGCCGUAACUAUAACGGUCCUAAGGUAGCGAAAUUCCUUGUCGGGUAAGUUCCGACCUGCACGAAUGGCGUAAUGAUGGCCAGGCUGUCUCCACCCGAGACUCAGUGAAAUUGAACUCGCUGUGAAGAUGCAGUGUACCCGCGGCAAGACGGAAAGACCCCGUGAACCUUUACUAUAGCUUGACACUGAACAUUGAGCCUUGAUGUGUAGGAUAGGUGGGAGGCUUUGAAGCGUGGACGCCAGUCUGCGUGGAGCCGACCUUGAAAUACCACCCUUUAAUGUUUGAUGUUCUAACGUGGACCCGUGAUCCGGGUUGCGGACAGUGU
rnacentral:rRNA from 1 species